UGGAGUAUAGCUCAGUAGUAGAGCACUUACCUAUCAUGGAGGAGGCCCUGGGUUCAAUUCCCAGUAUCACAA
rfam:Ictidomys tridecemlineatus contig051093, whole genome shotgun sequence.